UAUCUUCAGGGCAGAGUGUAAAUCUCGACUGGCGGUAAAGUCCGCGCGCGCAAGCUGAUUCGGUGAAACUCCGAGACCAACGGUAAAGUCCGGAUGAAAGAAGAU
rnacentral:ncRNA from 1 species